AGUGAACGCUGGCGGUAGGCCUAACACAUGCAAGUCGAACGGCAGCACAGGAGAGCUUGCUCUCUGGGUGGCGAGUGGCGGACGGGUGAGGAAUACAUCGGCAUCUACUUUUUCGUGGGGGAUAACGUAGGGAAACUUACGCUAAUACAGCAUACGACCUACGGGUGAAAGCAGGGGACCUUCGGGCCUUGCGCGAUUGAAUGAGCCGAUGUCGGAUUAGCUAGUUGGCGGGGUAAAGGCCCACCAAGGCGACGAUCCGUAGCUGGUCUGAGAAGAUGAUCAUCCACAAUGGAACUGGGACACGGUCCAGACUCCUACGGGAGGCAGCAAUGGGGAAUAUUGGACAAUGGGCGCAAGCCUGAUCCAGCCAUACCGCGUGGGUGAAGAAGGCCUUCGGGUUGUAAAGCCCUUUUGUUGGGAAAGAAAUCCGGCUGGCUAAUACCCGGUUGGGAUGACGGUACCCAAAGAAUAAGCACCGGCUAACUUCGUGCCAGCCGCCGCCGUAA
rnacentral:rRNA from 1 species